AGAGUUGAUCAUGGCUCAGGACGAACGCUGGCGGCGUGCCUAAUGCAUGCAAGUCGAACGCUGCUCCUUCGGGAGCGGCGUGGCGCACGGCUGAGGAACACGUGGCUACCUGCCCCGCGGUGGGGGAUAACGGCGCGAAAGCGCCGCUAAUCCCGCAUGUGUUCACCUCUUGCGAGGUGAAGAAAGCUUUAGCGCCGUGGGAGGGGGCUGCGGCCCAUCAGGUGGUUGGCGGGGUAACGGCCCACCAAGCCGAUGACGGGUUGCUGGUCUGUGAGGACAACCUGCCAGACUGGGACUGAGAGACGGCCCAGACUCCUACGGGAGGCAGCAGCAAGGAAUUUUCCCCAAUGGGCGCAAGCCUGAGGGAGCAACGCCGCGUGCGGGACGACGGCCUUCGGGUUGUAAACCGCUUUUACGGGGGACGAUUGUGACAGUACCCCGCGAACAAGCCCCGGCUAACUCUGUGCCAGCCGCCGCGGUAAUAC
rnacentral:rRNA from 1 species